rnacentral:rRNA from 1 species
CCUACGGGAGGCAGCAGUGGGGAAUAUUGGACAAUGGGGGCAACCCUGAUCCAGCCAUGCCGCGUGUGUGAAGAAGGCCCUCGGGUUGUAAAGCACUUUCAGUGAGGAAGAACGCCUGGUGGUUAAUACCCAUCAGGAAAGACAUCACUCACAGAAGAAGCACCGGCUAACUCCGUGCCAGCAGCCGCGGUAAUACGGAGGGUGCGAGCGUUAAUCGGAAUUACUGGGCGUAAAGCGCGCGUAGGUGGCUUGAUAAGCCGGUUGAGAAAGCCCCGGGCUCAACCUGGGAACGGCAUCCGGAACUGUCAAGCUAGAGUGCAGGAGAGGAAGGUAGAAUUCCCGGUGUAGCGGUGAAAUGCGUAGAGAUCGGGAGGAAUACCAGUGGCGAAGGCGGCCUUCUGGACUGACACUGACACUGAGGUGCGAAAGCGUGGGUAGCAAACAGGAUUAGAUACCCCUGUAGUC